rnacentral:rRNA from 1 species
UACGUAGGGUGCAAGCGUUAUCCGGAUUCACUGGGCUUAAAGGGAGCGCAGGCGGCUUUGUAAGUCAGUGGUGAAAGGCUUAAGCUUAACUUGGGAACUGCCAUUGAUACUAUAAGUCUUGAAUGUUGUUGAGGUUUGCGGAAUGGGUCAUGUAGCGGUGAAAUGCGUAGAUAUGACCCGGAACACCUAUUGCGAAGGCAGCAGGCUAAACAAAUAUUGACGCUGAGGCUCGAAAGCGUGGGGAUCAAACAGG